CGUGGGGUGCGAGCGUUAAUCGGAAUUACUGGGCGUAAAGCGUGCGCAGGCGGUUUUGUAAGAUAGGCGUGAAAUCCCCGGGCCCAACCUGGGAACUGCGCUUAUGACUGGCAAGCUAGAGUACGGCAGAGGGGGGUGGAAUUCCACGUGUAGCAGUGAAAUGCGUAGAGAUGUGGAGGAACACCAAUGGCGAAGGCAGCCCCCUGGGUCGAUACUGACGCUCAUGCACGAAAGCGUGGGUAGCAAACAGGAUUAGAUACCCUGGUAGUCCACGCCCUAAACGAUGUCAACUAGGUGUUGGGAGGGUAAAACCUUUUAGUACCGGAGCUAACGCGUGAAGUUGACCGCCUGGGGAGUACGGCCGCAAGGUUA
rnacentral:rRNA from 1 species